UACCUAUAAGACUGGGAUAACUUCGGGAAACCGGAGCUAAUACCGGAUAAUAUUUUGAACCGCAUGGUUCAAAAGUGAAAGACGGUCUUGCUGUCACUUAUAGAUGGAUCCGCGCUGCAUUAGCUAGUUGGUAAGGUAACGGCUUACCAAGGCAACGAUGCAUAGCCGACCUGAGAGGGUGAUCGGCCACACUGGAACUGAGACACGGUCCAGACUCCUACGGGAGGCAGCAGUAGGGAAUCUUCCGCAAUGGGCGAAAGCCUGACGGAGCAACGCCGCGUGAGUGAUGAAGGUCUUCGGAUCGUAAAACUCUGUUAUUAGGGAAGAACAUAUGUGUAAGUAACUGUGCACAUCUUGACGGUACCUAAUCAGAAAGCCACGGCUAACUACGUGCCAGCAGCCGCGGUAAUACGUAGGUGGCAAGCGUUAUCCGGAAUUAUUGGGCGUAAAGCGCGCGUAGGCGGUUUUUUAAGUCUGAUGUGAAAGCCCACGGCUCAACCGUGGAGGGUCAUUGGAAACUGGAAAACUUGAGUGCAGAAGAGGAAAGUGGAAUUCCAUGUGUAGCGGUGAAAUGCGCAGAGAUAUGGAGGAACACCAGUGGCGAAGGCGACUUUCUGGUCUGUAACUGACGCUGAUGUGCGAAAGCGUGGGGAUCAAACAGGAUUAGAUACCCUGGUAGUCCACGCCGUAAACGAUGAGUGCUAAGUGUUAGGGGGUUUCCGCCCCUUAGUGCUGCAGCUAACGCAUUAAGCACUCCGCCUGGGGAGUACGACCGCAAGGUUGAAACUCAAAGGAAUUGACGGGGACCCGCACAAGCGGUGGAGCAUGUGGUUUAAUUCGAAGCAACGCGAAGAACCUUACCAAAUCUUGACAUCCUUUGACAACUCUAGAGAUAGAGCCUUCCCCUUCGGGGGACAAAGUGACAGGUGGUGCAUGGUUGUCGUCAGCUCGUGUCGUGAGAUGUUGGGUUAAGUCCCGCAACGAGCGCAACCCUUAAGCUUAGUUGCCAUCAUUAAGUUGGGCACUCUAAGUUGACUGCCGGUGACAAACCGGAGGAAGGUGGGGAUGACGUCAAAUCAUCAUGCCCCUUAUGAUUUGGGCUACACACGUGCUACAAUGGACAAUACAAAGGGCAGCGAAACCGCGAGGUCAAGCAAAUCCCAUAAAGUUGUUCUCAGUUCGGAUUGUAGUCUGCAACUCGACUACAUGAAGCUGGAAUCGCUAGUAAUCGUAGAUCAGCAUGCUACGGUGAAUACGUUCCCGGGUCUUGUACACACCGCCCGUCACACCACGAGAGUUUGUAACACCCGAAGCCGGUGGAGUAACCUUUUAGGAGCUAGCCGUCGAAGGUGGGACAAAUGAUUGGGGUGAAGUCGUAACAAGGUAGCCGUAUCGGAAGGUGCGGCUG
rnacentral:rRNA from 1 species